CAGGAAGAAGUGACCUGCAGGGUGGAACGCCUAUCAGGCAGGCUGAAGAUAGAUCAAUGAAGGGGGGCCAUUGGAAGAAGGAGAGCCGUUUGCUGCUCUACAGUCAGAGAGAUAGGGUGGGAUUUCACAGGCUAGCAGCACAUGCUCUCACCACGCUGAGAGCUGAAAGACGUAUAGUACACGUGUGUGUUUGCAGUAGAAGGUCGCUUUUGAGGAAAAGUGUUCUGGGGUGUCAAAGGACCAGAGCUGUGGCUCUAAAGAAGAGACAGCGAGUGGGACAUACACAUCGGACGCUCUGACAAUGCCGGCUCAGGUUCCUGUGAGUUUGCCAUGGCGACCAGUGGGCCCUGACAGCAGCGGGGAUCACGGUCUUGCAGAGGAAGGG